UUUGACUUCCCGAAUGUGCCCAGCUUUGAUUAAUUUAUCAAUUUCAGCCUGUGCUGCCUCCUUUCUUUCAGCUGCGAGUAUUCUCCGCUUCUGCCGUAUAGGAGUAAAGCUACUGUCUAUGUUGAGCUCAUGGCAUGUUAUAGUACGUUGUACCUGUGAGGGUGCCUCCCCUUCCCAUACGAACGUGUGCACAUGGGUUUCUAAUAGCUGCAGUAGUGACUUUUUUAACUCGGAGGAUAAAGAUGUCCCUAUCAGGAC
rnacentral:lncRNA from 1 species